GACGAACGCUGGCGGCGUGCUUAACACAUGCAAGUCGAACGAAGUGGCGAACGGGUGAGUAACGCGUAAUCAACCUGCCCUUCAGAGGGGGACAACAGUUGGAAACGACUGCUAAUACCGCAUACUGAAGGAGGGGAUUGCGUAUGAUUAGCUAGUUGGAGGGGUAACGGCCCACCAAGGGGAUGAUCAGUAGCCGGGUUGAGAGGAAGAACGGCCAAAUUGGGAAUGAGACACGGCCCAGGUCCCCACGGGAGGCAGCAAGGGGGAAUCUUCCGCAAUGGACGAAAGUCUGACGGAGAAAGUCCGGGGGAGGGAUGACGGCCUUCGGGUUGUAAAGGUCUGUUAGUCGGGACGCGGUACCGGAAGAGAAAGCCACGGCUAACUACGUGCCAGCAGCCGCGGUAAUAC
rnacentral:rRNA from 1 species